rnacentral:rRNA from 1 species
UAGCUAGUUGGUGAGGUAAAGGCUUACCAAGGCGACGAUCUGUAGCGGGUCUGAGAGGGUGAUCCGCCACACUGGAACUGAGACACGGUCCAGACUCCUACGGGAGGCAGCAGUGGGGAAUUUUGGACAAUGGGGGCAACCCUGAUCCAGCCAUGCCGCGUGAGUGAAGAAGGCCUUCGGGUUGUAAAGCUCUUUCGGCCGGGAAGAAAUCGCAUGGGCCAAUACCCUGUGUGGAUGACGGUACCGGAAUAAGAAGCACCGGCUAACUACGUGCCAGCAGCCGCGGUAAUACGUAGGGUGCGAGCGUUAAUCGGAAUUACUGGGCGUAAAGCGUGCGCAGGCGGUUUUGUAAGACAGGCGUGAAAUCCCCGGGCUUAACCUGGGAACUGCGUUUGUGACUGCAAGGCUAGAGUACGGCAGAGGGGGGUGGAAUUCCACGUGUAGCAGUGAAAUGCGUAGAGAUGUGGAGGAACACCAAUGGCGAAGGCAGCCCCCUGGGUCGAUACUGACGCUCAUGCACGAAAGCGUGGGUAGCAAACAGGAUUAGAUACCCUGGUAGUCCACGCCCUAAACUAUGUCAACUAGGUGUUGGGUGGGUAAAGCCAUUUAGUACCGUAGCUAACGCGUGAAGUUGACCGCCUGGGGAGUACGGCCGCAAGGUUAAAACUCAAAGGAAUUGACGGGGACCCGCACAAGCGGUGGAUGAUGUGGAUUAAUUCGAUGCAACGCGAAAAACCUUACCUACCCUUGACAUGCCAGGAACUUGCCAGAGAUGGCUUGGUGCCCGAAAGGGAGCCUGGACACAGGUGCUGCAUGGCUGUCGUCAGCUCGUGUCGUGAGAUGUUGGGUUAAGUCCCGCAACGAGCGCAACCCUUGUCGUUAAUUGCCAUCAUUUAGUUGGGCACUUUAACGAGACUGCCGGUGACAAACCGGAGGAAGGUGGGGAUGACGUCAAGUCCUCAUGGCCCUUAUGGGUAGGGCUUCACACGUCAUACAAUGGUCGGUACAAAGGGUUGCCAAGUCGCGAGGCGGAGCCAAUCCCAGAAAGCCGAUCGUAGUCCGGAUUGCAGGCUGCAACUCGCCUGCAUGAAGUCGGAAUCGCUAGUAAUCGUGGAUCAGCAUGUCACGGUGAAUACGUUCCCGGGUCUUGUACACACCGCCCGUCACACCAUGGGAGCGGAUUCCGCCAGAAGUAGGUAGCCUAACCGCAAGGGGGGCGCUUACCACGGCGGGGUUCGUGACUGGGGUGAAGUCGUAACAAGGUAGCCGUAGGGGAACCUGCGGCUG